rnacentral:rRNA from 1 species
ACGCUGGCGGCAGGCCUAACACAUGCAAGUCGAGCGGUAGAGAGAAGCUUGCUUCUCUUGAGAGCGGCGGACGGGUGAGUAAUGCCUAGGAAUCUGCCUGGUAGUGGGGGAUAACGUUCGGAAACGGACGCUAAUACCGCAUACGUCCUACGGGAGAAAGCAGGGGACCUUCGGGCCUUGCGCUAUCAGAUGAGCCUAGGUCGGAUUAGCUAGUUGGUGAGGUAAUGGCUCACCAAGGCGACGAUCCGUAACUGGUCUGAGAGGAUGAUCAGUCACACUGGAACUGAGACACGGUCCAGACUCCUACGGGAGGCAGCAGUGGGGAAUAUUGGACAAUGGGCGAAAGCCUGAUCCAGCCAUGCCGCGUGUGUGAAGAAGGUCUUCGGAUUGUAAAGCACUUUAAGUUGGGAGGAAGGGCAGUUACCUAAUACGUGAUUGUUUUGACGUUACCGACAGAAUAAGCACCGGCUAACUCUGUGCCAGCAGCCGCGGUAAUACAGAGGGUGCAAGCGUUAAUCGGAAUUACUGGGCGUAAAGCGCGCGUAGGUGGUUUGUUAAGUUGGAUGUGAAAUCCCCGGGCUCAACCUGGGAACUGCAUUCAAAACUGACUGACUAGAGUAUGGUAGAGGGUGGUGGAAUUUCCUGUGUAGCGGUGAAAUGCGUAGAUAUAGGAAGGAACACCAGUGGCGAAGGCGACCACCUGGACUGAUACUGACACUGAGGUGCGAAAGCGUGGGGAGCAAACAGGA